rnacentral:rRNA from 1 species
AUAGUUUGAUGCUGGCUCAGAACGAACGCUGGCGGCGCGCCUAACACAUGCAAGUCGAACGAGAAUCCGGGGCAACCCGGUAGUAAAGUGGCAAACGGGUGAGGAAUGCAUGGGCAACCUGUCCUUGAGAAGGGAAUAACCCGCCGAAAGGUGAGCUAAUACCCUAUACGCUUUGCUUUUUUUGAAAAGUGAAGGAAAGUCAAGCCGUGGGCUUGGCGCUCUCGGAGGGGCUCAUGUCCUAUCAGCUUGUUGGUGGGGUAACGGCCUACCAAGGCUACGACGGGUAGCUGGUCUGAGAGGAUGAUCAGCCACACUGGCACUGAGAUACGGGCCAGACUCCUACGGGAGGCAGCAGUGAGGAAUAUUGCGCAAUGGGCGAAAGCCUGACGCAGCGACGCCGCGUGGGGGAUGAAGGUUUUCGGAUUGUAAACCCCUUUUGUGAGGAAAGAUAAAGUGGGUCACCACUUGGACGGUACCUCAAGAAAAAGCCACGGCUAACUUCGUGCCAGCAGCCGCGGUAAUACGAAGGUGGCGAGCGUUGUUCGGAUUUACUGGGCGUAAAGCGCGCGUAGGCGGCUUGGUAAGUCGGAUGUGAAAGCCCAGGGCUUAACCCUGGAAUUGCAUUCGAUACUGCCUGGCUAGAGUAUGGUAGAGGGAAGUGGAAUUUCCGGCGUAGCGGUGAAAUGCGUAGAUAUCGGAAGGAACACCAGUGGCGAAGGCGACUUCCUGGGCCAAUACUGACGCUGAGGUGCGAAAGCGUGGGGAGCAAACAGGAUUAGAUAC